CUAGUAUAGCCCAGACCGUUUUCGAUAAAUUUUAGUUCUGGUCCGGCCAUCAGAGGUCGCGAUUAGCAUUCUCAUAAUAAGUUUAUUUAUUUCUUGCGAAUGUUAUUUUUAUUUUACAUUUUCAUUCAAAGGUAGACGAUAGGUGUAGACACACAACAUAAACAACAAAUUUAGGUUCCAGCUUUUUUUGUUAGAUUUAUAAUAAAAGAAAGAAAUCUAAUUUAUCGGCGUGAAGUGUGCGGGAUUGAAAUUUGGAACAAGUUAGUCAUGAUUUCAAAAUUUGAACUGUCAACGCAAUCAAUGAAAAAAACACAAAAUUGAGUCUUGUUUGUAAAAUAAAUCCCUGGAAUUUGAGAAUGAGUUUCCACAAACGAACUUGUUCUGCUGUGGUGGGCUGCCCAUUUAAAUCUGGGCUUCUCUUUCGGUUUCCGCGUCCGAAAAAGGAGCCACUUUUUGCCAGACUAAAUUAAGAGCUCCAGUGUGUUCAAAAGUCUGUUCCCCAACUCAUUGCGUUCUGUUAAUAUUUGUCAAGAAAGAUACACGUACGAAUAUAACAGUGAGGAGUUGCGGGAACAUGCGUCGUCGGUGUCGGUACCAAAAAUCAGAUGAUAAUUGACCUUUCACCAGAAGUUACCAAUACCUACAUUGAUCUGUCUUUUUCCACAACACAAAAAGGAGAUGUAGAAUUAUCGGAAAUGUGGUUUUAUAGUCCACGAACAAGAGUGACUCCAGUGGAAGGUAUAAAUAAAUACAUACAGGGUACCAAACGGUUUUUUUUUUAAUUAUUAAUGUAAAUUAAAGUAAUAUAAAAAAAUGUGAUUGUAUUUUAAAAAUAAAAUUUUGUCUAAAACGUG